AGGACCACGUUAGCUGUAAGGUGGAGGCUGAGGACUCUGCGUUUCCUCCGAUUCACAAGUUUCUGUAACGUGACGGAGGUGUCCAGGCACACCUUUUCUGCGUGGCGGUGCCACUGGUGUGUGUGGCAUUGAUGAGUUGUCAGGUGAUUCUAAAUGUCCUAUGACUGUGUCUCCACGUUCACAUGUUGUUCAUACUACUGCUGUUGUUGUUGUUGGUAACCGUUGGUUACUUAAUACCCCUGCUAGAGAAGCUGAUGUUUUCUAUGAGCGUCAUGGUGUGUGCUUCCCUCUCAAACCCUAUGGGUAACAGUUAGGGAUGCACCGAUACCGAUACUGGUAUCGGUACCGAUAUGAUGCCAAUACCAGUAUCGGUAUCGGUAAAAGUUAACCGAUACCAGGAACCAAUACCAAUGCAGUUGCUUGAAAAUGGCUUCACUGUAACUUGUCAUUUCUGUUCACCUAAUAUUUUAGUUUUGUGAUGAUUUCCAUUCAUAUAUUUUACUUUUUAUCUACCUCACAAUCUUUUCCUGUUGAAAGCAGAGAAGAAAAUAAAAUCUGUAUUCCAAAUCAUUGCCUUUUUUUGUAUGGUAGAAGUAUCGGUAAUCGGUAUCGGCGAGUACUCAGAUCCAAGUAUCGGUAUCGUAUCGGUUUGGAAAAAAGUGGUAUUGUUGCAUCCCUCGUAACAGUUCCACGUGGUGCUACGGUCCGUGUAGGUGAGGGCUCUCUUUAUUACUUGGAUCCUGGUGAGCAUAGGUCUUAUGAUAACAUCUCCUUUGCUCUUUCUCCAGCUACAGUGGAUAGUGUUACAUCGAUGGUCCAACCAUGGUUCGGGUUGGUGUGGAGAACAGGGUGCUGCAUGAGUUGUCGGCAGAUCCCGGUCUCAGGUUUCAACCAGUGUCUUACUCCUGGUCCUCCGCUGAUUCUGUCGUGAUAUUCACUGCAUGCCUAAACCUCUGCCUGUCGUGGGGUUUGUCAUUUUUCCUGUUCCGUCACUUCUCCGCACGGUUGACCUUUCUAGGGGACUCGGUCCGCGAUGUCUGGGGGCGCCAAACUCGGGCCAUCGCACCGGUUCGUGAAGCACCGGCUGCCCAGGUGCCUCCGCCUGAGCCGGCUGGUCCUGCUCCUUCACCUGCACCUCCUGCGCCUUCAGCUAGAACUUUGAAGACUUUGUUGAUUGGAGAUGAACAUGCUGUGGGUUCCUGACGUCAGGUAAUCAGUUAGUUAACAGUAGAUGGGUUUAGUCCACAUAUUACUGUAAUCCUAAUUUGUUUUUAUUUUCACUACUCUUAAUUCCUCAUGGGUACAUUCACAUGUAGGUUGAUUACUAACCACCGAUUUACAUUUUUAGUGCUCUUUGACACUCAUAUAUCUAUUUUUUAUAGAAUUUUACUACAGUGAUUAAGUUUUGAAAACUUUAUGAUUAACUUUGCUAAUUUACCAUUAUGGGCUACAACCAUUUUUGCCCUUCAUUUUGAUUACAUUUUUACUUAGUGCAGUGAUUUCUCCCAUACGCAGUAUAGGGUUUUACUUCUUUAUUCUUUUCGCACCACUUUUUCCAGUACACGUAGUGUAUCGCACCCAUUUCUUCGCUUAAUGCUAAUUCACAUAAUUGCUGCACAUAGUACAUGCAGGUACUCACAGUGAUACGUUUCUUUUUGCUUGUUAAUUUGCAUUAGACGCCAUUUUGUUGUGUCUACAUUGAAGUGCCCUGUGCUGUGCUCUCUCUCCUCUGCUGAGUUUCGUCGAUGAUCGUGCUUCCUGGGGGUGGACCUAUGACUCGCCAUUGGAUUCUACUCCUCCUGCUUGGUGUUCCGGCUCGUAGGACCUGGACGUCCGUUUGUCCUGGCAUGACUGCUGGGAUACUUCGCUCGCUGGGACCUGACCUACCUGCUGCUCUUUCCUGUACUGGAUCACGAUAAGUGCUAUUACAAAGAUCAAUAUGUUAUUUUGGAAGUAUUCCCGACCUGUGGAAAUAUAAAGUUUUGCUCCUGCUUCAAAAUAUUACUUCCAAGGGGAUAUCUUGAUAAUCUGCUGACUUGUGUGCUUCCCGAGGAGUAUGCAAGACUGUUCUUCAGAGUGGGGUUCGUAUCUCACCGCUUUUGGCCUCUUCCUGGGGAAUUGCACCCUGCUCUAUCGUCGGAGUCCUUUAAGACUCUGGUUUGUUCAAUGACAGGUGGUCUCUGGACGGACCACCGUGCCCUUGAAAAGGGGGGUAUGUAACGUGACGGAGGUGCCAUUCCACCGAAGGUUAUUUACCCCCCUCUCUCCACAGAUGCCUCUGACACAGUACUAAGCUGCAUGAGACUGUCUCAAGGUCAUGCAUUCGCUUCUAAACUGCUUCCUUUCCAGCUCAAGAGAAGAAUGAAGACAAAGGACUCUUUCCUUUUAAUAAAUCAAAGAACUCUAUUUUUAAUAAAGCUAAUCAAACAAGGUGUUAGUCAAUAAUAUAAUGUUGACCAGUCUAUGAAAUGACAAUGUUAGGAUUAGUAUGCUUUAAUAAGUAAUAUGACUUUAAUCUAGCUGCACUAGACACUCUGAUGACAUGUAAUGUAAACGCACGACACAUUGUUUACUCAUCCAAUCAGAACCUUCCUUUCUGAAGCGUGGCAUAGUCUCUGUGGUGUUUAAAAAUCUGCCAACUUUGAUUUGACCAGAAAUCAGAACAUCCAGAUUAAUAAAACCAGUUCCCACUCCAUCUUAGUUCAGUUCUCUGAGUUCUCUACAGUUCACUGAAGUUCACCGCAUGCUAAGUAAAGUAUCGGACCGGCCACCCGGACUUCCUUUUUAAGCAAAGAACCAACAAGCUCAAUAAAAUCUGUUGCAUUUUACCAACCAAGCAACGGUUCCUUUCAGAAUAAUAGCUGACCUCACUGACCCUCCGGGUCCAUCUGACGCUGUCAACCAACUGUCGCUUUUUACCUGGAGACAAUCCAAAGACUAGUCUGUCGUACUGCUGACACUGUUUCACCGGCUCCGGUACCGAAAGGGGGGUCCGAGGACCUGGCAGUCUGGAUCUGUAAGGAGGUCUCAUCCUAAUGGUAUGUGUAGAGCGACAAUAUGGCGUCUCGUGUUUAUGAAACUCCGAUCAAACUCUGAUCAUAGCUAAAAGCAAAACAUCACAACAUCAUUCAGACUUGCUUCUCCGGAUACGAGAGUUUGGAUUACAUCACUCACACAUACACCAUUCAUCUCACGUCUCAUUCACACCAGAUCCAUUCAUCACUUAGAGUUAGUCUUGUUUAAAAUUCUUUAAAAUUGUUUAGAAAUAAAUCUUCUUAAACGUUUUAAAGGUGACUCUCUCGUCUCUCACUUAAUACAAGUGUUACAUAAUCCCUGCAAUCAAAAGUUCCAAUCUUCUGGUUAAAAUAACCCAACUGUCCGUAAGGUUGAUUUCAUAUUUACUAUGGAAUCUUACGUCUUACGGGUCCUUAAUUAGAAGUAAAUUAACUCUUUUACAUUUCUUUCCCCUUGCCAUGGCAACAAGGGCUGCAUUCCAAGUACAGGGAGCUCUGCUGGUCGUUUUACCAGCAUGCACAGCUACAGAAGUGGAAUGCAGCCCUCACUGAUACACCUGUACCUUCUCUAAUCUGUCAAAUAAAGAUGAAGUGUCCUGGCUCACUCUGCUGGCCCGACUCCUCCGUUAGUGUGAGCUCAAGCACCAGUUAGUUAUUUAUUUACAAACAAGCGAUCAGAGUUGUGAUGUCCUGAAUAGUCUCCUUAAAAGGCUGGAUCCAAACUGCCAGAUAAGAGUUAAAAAGAUCAACAUGUGUGGUGUUGUGCAUCGUUUAUGGUUCUGGUUUUUCCUCUGGGAGUUCCUCAGAAAUAAACAGAGCCGCUUGUGUUGUUGGAGAUAAAAAAAUCAGCGAGACAGUAGUUACACAGCUACUGGCUCCUUAUCCUUUAAAAGGAAGUGAGAAAGAAGAAAGCUGCCUUCAGAGCAGCACUAAAACCCGUUAAAUCACUGAGAAAUUUACAUUUCAAAAUAAAUAACAAACGGCCUCCUCAGACCAGAGAGGGCAGAAGGGUAGCGGUGCAGACUGGAACCAAGGUGUGGAUCUAUCAGCACGGGAGAGAAGAGACUCGCUUUUGUUUGUUUACCAACAAAGUUCAACUAAACUAACGACGAUCAUCACCGUUCGUCCAGCUUGCUUCUAACAGAUCUGGUUCCAAUCAGCUGUCAGUUCCUAAAAGCUCAGUCACAGUUUUAAGAAAACAACGAGUACAAUUAAACCACGCGUAUCCUGUUAGCCUCAGAUUAAAGGGAUCAUAAAAGCCGCUGUUUGGAAAAUGGGAAAUGUCCAUCCCCAUGAGAACCGUGGAGUAGACUGCUACCGCCGCGCUGUUUCAAGGCAGCAGGAAUCCACAGUCACUAUCUGUUAGCUUAUCGAUCUGGUCACACUUGUCUUCCAUUUAUCACCAAUAAGAACAAAUCUGUAACCUGUCCAACAUUUAGGAGAUAAAGCAGCACGCUCACCUCUGUAACUCCUGUCCCACGUACUCCGACUUGUCCUCCGAGAGCACCUCGAACAUGUCAUCCUCCUCCAGCCUGCGUUUGUAGCCCGUUCUAAAGAGAGGAUUCAGCCACCUGA